GCAGUGAUGUCCGAGUGGUAAAGAGUUUGACUAGAAAUCAAAUGGGCUCUGCCUGCGCAGGUUCGAAUCCUGCUCGCUGCG
rnacentral:tRNA from 1 species